rnacentral:misc_RNA from 1 species
GGCGAAGUCCUGUAAGGGCCUUGCUGUGGAGUUGGUCAAGUGUCUUAGCGAAUCGGAUUGCGUUAAGGUUGAGAAGAAGAGUUUCAGGGAAUGCGCGAAAGAAAAGAGUCCAUGUAUUCCUAGUGAAUGUGUAGGACUAAGGGAAACCUACUUCACUUGCAAGAGAGGACAGCUGGACAUGAGAGCUCGAAUUCGUGGAAAUAAAGGCUAUUAAUUGGUAGGACUGGCGCAAAUUCCACACAUGAGAAGUACGAUAUUUUCCAGACUGGACUGCAUGUGACAAAUUGCAAUCUACAAUUUUCUCAACAACAGUGUCGCACGUAUACAAGUUUCUUGGACAUUUUACUUGACAAACUUUGUACCUGUUGCUUCGGCCCCUUCUUAAUUUUGAAUACCGUUGAUAUUGG